AGCACUGAAUCUGAAUACAGAAGUUUAGCUUAAGCAACCGCUGACCUUCUUUGGAUAUAGACACUGUUGCAGGAACUGUGUAUUUAAACCAAGUCUCCCAUCAUACUGUGUGAUAAUCAGUCAGCUGUCCUAUUAGCUCAUAAUCUUGUUUUGCAUUCCAGAACUAAGCAUAUGGAGAUUGAUCUAUUUUUUGUGAGGGAAAAGGUUCUGGCCAAACAAAUUCAGGUGCUGCACAUUCCUGGCGCUGAUCAGCUUGCUGAUGUGUUGACCAAGCCCUUGGCUUCCACCAAAUUCUUGGAGCUUAUACACAAACUUAGGUUACCCUUGAUGUUGUAUAUAAAGCAUCAAGGAGCCUUUUGUAAUGAACUGAAAAACAGAAUUUUGUUACAAAUGAAAAACUCUUCUCUUCUCUAUUCUUCUUUCUAA